GAUGAACGCUGGCGGCGUGCUUAACACAUGCAAGUCGAACGGGAAUUACUUUAUUGACACUUCGGUCGAUUUAAUUUAAUUCUAGUGGCGGACGGGUGAGUAACGCGUGGGUAACCUGCCUUAUACAGGGGGAUAACAGUCAGAAAUGGCUGCUAAUACCGCAUAAGCGCACAGAGCUGCAUGGCUCGGUGUGAAAAACUCCGGUGGUAUAAGAUGGACCCGCGUUGGAUUAGCUUGUUGGUGGGGUAACGGCCCACCAAGGCGACGAUCCAUAGCCGGCCUGAGAGGGUGAACGGCCACAUUGGGACUGAGACACGGCCCAGACUCCUACGGGAGGCAGCAGUGGGGAAUAUUGCACAAUGGGGGAAACCCUGAUGCAGCGACGCCGCGUGAAGGAAGAAGUAUCUCGGUAUGCAAACUUCUAUCAGCAGGGAAGAUAGUGACGGUACCUGACUAAGAAGCCCCGGCUAACUACGUG
rnacentral:rRNA from 1 species